UCCGAGUUGACCCCGGCAGUCUUCGAUGAGUCCCCGCCAUAACGCGCUGGCAACAUCGAGCGAGGGUUGCGCUCGUUGCGGGACUUAACCCAACAUCUCACGACACGAGCUGACGACAGCCAUGCAGCACCUGUCACCGGUCCAGCCGUACUGAAGAGGUCGAUCUCUCGUCCUCGCGACCGGGAUGUCAAGGGCUGGUAAGGUUCUUCGCGUUGCCUCGAAUUAAACCACAAGCGGCGGAGCAUGUGGCUUAAUUCGACGCAAC
rnacentral:misc_RNA from 1 species